rnacentral:rRNA from 1 species
UACGGGGGGAGCAAGCGUUGUUCGGAUUUACUGGGCGUAAAGGGCGCGUAGGCGGCACUGCAAGUCAGUUGUGAAAUCUCCGGGCUUAACCCGGAAGGGUCAACUGAUACUGCAGGGCUAGAGUGCAGAAGGGGCAACUGGAACUCUCGGUGUAGCGGUGAAAUGCGUAGAUAUCGAGAGGAACACCUGCGGCGAAGGCGGGUUGCUGGGCUGACACUGACGCUGAGGCGCGAAAGCCAGGGGAGCGAACGGG